rnacentral:rRNA from 1 species
UACGGAGGGGGCUAGCGUUGUUCGGAACUACUGGGCGUAAAGCGCACGUAGGCGGCUUUGUAAGUUAGAGGUGAAAGCCCGGGGCUCAACUCCGGAAUUGCCUUUAAGACUGCAUCGCUAGAAUUGUGGAGAGGUAAGUGGAAUUCCGAGUGUAGAGGUGAAAUUCGUAGAUAUUCGCAAGAACACCAGUGGCGAAGGCGGCUCACUGGCCCGAUACUGACGCUGAGGCACGAAAGCGUGGGGAGCAAACAGG